UUUUAAUUUAAAUUUUUGCUGGAGUAGUAAAAGUUAUAAUCUUUAAACUCAAAAAAUUUGGCGGUAUUUUAUCUUUUUAGAGGAACCUGCUUAUUAAUUGAUAUUCCACAACUAUUAUUUACUUUUAUUAUAUUACCUGUAUGCCGCCGUCAUGAGCAUAUUUGGAAGUUCACUUUCUUUGAUUUUUAUUAAAUUUAUGUUAGGUCAAGGUGCAGUAUUUAAAAGAAUAUUGUGGGUUACUUUAUUUAAUAUGAAUGGAUUAAUUAAUAUGGAAUGGUAAAGAAAGAGGAUUUAAAAGUAAAAUUAUUAUAGAAAUAAUAUGAAUUUAGAUUCUAAAAUAUGU
rnacentral:rRNA from 1 species